AGUGAACGCUGGCGGUAGGCCUAACACAUGCAAGUCGAACGGCAGCACAGUAAGAGCUUGCUCUUACGGGUGGCGAGUGGCGGACGGGUGAGGAAUACAUCGGAAUCUACUUUUUCGUGGGGGAUAACGUAGGGAAACUUACGCUAAUACCGCAUACGACCUACGGGUGAAAGCAGGGGAUCUUCGGACCUUGCGCGAUUGAAUGAGCCGAUGUCGGAUUAGCUAGUUGGCGGGGUAAAGGCCCACCAAGGCGACGAUCCGUAGCUGGUCUGAGAGGAUGAUCAGCCACACUGGAACUGAGGCACGGUCCAGACUCCUACGGGAGGCAGCAGUGGGGAAUAUUGGACAAUGGGCGCAAGCCUGAUCCAGCCAUACCGCGUGGGUGAAGAAGGCCUUCGGGCUGUAAAGCCCUUUUGUUGGGAAAGAAAAGCAGCAGGUUAAUACCCCGCUGUUCUGACGGUACCCAAAGAAUAAGCACCGACUAACUUCGUG
rnacentral:rRNA from 1 species